UCCUAAAGUGCUGGGAUUACAGGCGUGAGUCACCGCGCCCGGCCAGUCGAACUCUUUCUUCUGAGGAGGCAAGGAUUGAGAUUGCUGCAGAACAUAGGCAUUGGCCGUCAGUAAUAUACCGUGUGACUCAGAACCUCCCCCGCUUCUCCCUGCAUCAAGAGCUGGGGAGACGGCAGCGUGGGACUCGUGGGUAAUCCCCUGCAGCGGCCUGCCACUCCUCCCCCACUGCCUGGUCUGGGUGGGGCACAAGACUCAGGCCUAAGCCAAUCAGAGCCUUCCCUGGCUGCAGCAAUGGGUCUAAGGGCCCUCCCUCUGUGACCCUGGCCUUGGCCACCAGGCUUGCUUUGGCCAAUGAGAUGUGAGCAUACAGGACGCCAGUCAAAGCAUGAAAACUGCUUGCAAUAGCGCUUGUGUGUGCACCUGGACCUAUGUUGUAAGAAUGUGCCCCGUUUGGCCAUUGGAAGGACUUGGGACACCUGGGGGAGAACAGAGUCACCCCAGCUGCCAGCCAGCUCAGCCAGGACAUGCUGUACAAGCAUGGCACCAG
rnacentral:lncRNA from 1 species